GCUUGUCUCAAAGAUUAAGCCAUGCAUGUCUAAGUACAAGCCUCAGUAAGGUGAAACCGCGAAUGGCUCAUUAAAUCACACCUAAUCUACUGGAAAGUUACUAGUUACUUGGAUAACUGAGGUAAUUCUUGAGCUAAUACAUGCAUUACGCCUGACUUUUCGGAAGGGCAGUAUUUAUUAGAUAACAGACCAUCUCCCCCAAAGGAAAUGUGGUGAAUCAUAGUAACUAAUCGGAUCGCAUGGGCUUUGCCCGCGACAAACCAUUCAAGUUUCUGCCCCAUCAGCUUUCGAUGGUAGUGUAUUGGACUACCAUGGCUAUUACGGGUAACGGAGGAUUAGGGUUCGAUUCCGGAGAGGGAGCCUGAGAAACGGCUACCACAUCUAAGGAAGGCAGCAGG
rnacentral:rRNA from 1 species